GGCGGCAGGCCUACACAUGCAACCCGAACGGCAGCACAGAAGAGCUUGCUCUUUGGGUGGCGAGUGGCGGACGGGUGAGUAAUGUCUGGGAAACUGCCCGAUGGAGGGGGAUAACUACUGGAAACGGUAGCUAAUACCGCAUAACGUCGCAAGACCAAAGUGGGGGACCUUCGGGCCUCACACCAUCGGAUGUGCCCAGAUGGGAUUAGCUAGUAGGUGGGGUAACGGCUCACCUAGGCGACGAUCCCUAGCUGGUCUGAGAGGAUGACCAGCCACACUGGAACUGAGACACGGUCCAGACUCCUACGGGAGGCAGCAGUGGGGAAUAUUGCACAAUGGGCGCAAGCCUGAUGCAGCCAUGCCGCGUGUAUGAAGAAGGCCUUCGGGUUGUAAAGUACUUUCAGCGGGGAGGAAGGCGAUGCGGUUAAUAACCGGGUCGAUUGACGUUACCCGCAGAAGAAGCACCGGCUAACUCCGUGCCAGCAGCCGCGGUAAUACGGAGGGUGCAAGCGUUAAUCGGAAUUACUGGGCGUAAAGCGCACGCAGGCGGUCUGUCAAGUCGGAUGUGAAAUCCCCGGGCUUAACCUGGGAACUGCAUUCGAAACUGGCAGGCUAGAGUCUUGUAAAGGGGGGUAGAAUUCCAGGUGUAGCGGUGAAAUGCGUAAAGAUCUGGAGGAAUACCGGUGGCGAAAGCGGCCCCCUGGACAAAGACUGACCCUCAGGUGCGAAAACGUGGGGAGC
rnacentral:rRNA from 1 species